AACGAACGCUGGCGGCAUGCCUAACACAUGCAAGUCGAACGAGACCUUCGGGUCUAGUGGCGCACGGGUGCGUAACGCGUGGGAACCUGCCCUUAGGUUCGGAAUAACUCCCCGAAAGGGGUGCUAAUACCGGAUAAUGUCUUCGGACCAAAGAUUUAUCGCCUUUGGAUGGGCCCGCGUUGGAUUAGCUAGUUGGUAGGGUAAAAGCCUACCAAGGCGACGAUCCAUAGCUGGUCUGAGAGGAUGAUCAGCCACACUGGGACUGAGACACGGCCCAGACUCCUACGGGAGGCAGCAGUGGGGAAUAUUGGACAAUGGGAAAAAGCCUGAUCCAGCAAUGCCGCGUGAGUGAUGAAGGCCUUAGGGUUGUAAAGCUCUUUUACCCGGGAUGAUAAUGACAGUACCGGGAGAAUAAGCUCCGGCUAACUCCGUG
rnacentral:rRNA from 1 species